AAGCGAUGGAGGGCUGGAGGACAGAGGAAGGUCACAAAUCAGGCACUGCCGCUGGCCCGGUGAUUCAGGAGCCAAGAUGGCCAUGGAAGUGUGUCCCCCCGAGUGUACCUUCCCCUGGGAUGUCGUUCUCUGGAAUUUCAUCUCCUCUAUCGGGUUAAGUUGCUGCAUUAAAUCAGGAGAGUGUGGCUACCACCCUUCAUCAAAGAAGGACCAUCACAGGAAACCACAGCUGGACACAGUGCAGGCAUCAACAGAUCGUGAGAAGUCCCUCCUCAGUGGAUAUGAAUUCUAGUGUUCUUAAAACAACACUAAUGGAAGAGGAUUAAAUUAAUUAUACUCUCCAGUUUAUGAUAAAUUAGUAUCACUAUUCUGUGUAAUGA